GCGUGAGUUAAAAUGAUCGUGCAAACAGCCAUGAUUGAUUGAUGCAUGUUCUUGGGCCUGCACUCAUUCCUGGCUAGAGACGCGUCUGUUUGGAGGAUUAAUGAUGGAAACAGUGAUAUAAGAAAGAGCUGAGAAAGGAUAGCAUGAGCCAGAGAGUUGUUAGUAAUACAAGGGUAUCUUGUUUAUUCAUUUACAUGAUCAGGUAUAUCUCAGUUCUACCAUUUUACCCGUGUGUUGCGCUGGUUUUUUUUUUAAUUAUUAAUUAUUAUAUA
rnacentral:misc_RNA from 1 species